AUGCAAGUCGAACGGUAACAUGACUAGCUUGCUAGUUGAUGACGAGUGGCGGACGGGUGAGUAACGCGUAGGAAUCUACCCAGUAGCGGGGGAUAAGCCAGAGAAAUUUGGUCUAAUACCGCAUACGCCCUUCGGGGGAAAGCAGGGGAUCUUCGGACCUUGCACUAUUGGAUGAGCCUGCGUGAGAUUAGCUUGCUGGUGAGGUAAUGGCUCACCAAGGCGGCGAUCUCUAGCUGGUCUGAGAGGAUGAUCAGCCACACUGGAACUGAGACACGGUCCAGACUCCUACGGGAGGCAGCAGUGGGGAAUAUUGCACAAUGGGCGCAAGCCUGAUGCAGCCAUGCCGCGUGUGUGAAGAAGGCCCUAGGGUUGUAAAGCACUUUCAGCAGUGAGGAAAGGUUAGUAGUUAAUACCUGCUAGCUGUGACGU
rnacentral:rRNA from 1 species